rnacentral:lncRNA from 1 species
GUUCCGGGCGAAGGGGGACAUGUUGUUGCCAUGGCGUGGUGCUGCGCGCUGGUUCUGACUGGCCUUUGGGGGUGUUGAAGAAAUAUUUUAAUGUUGUUCAACAUAGUGUAAGCUGUUCAGAAGAAAAGUGGAGAAUUUGAUACAUGUUUAUAUUUUGAGACUGAUGAUGAAAGAAUAUUGAUUAUUGCAUCGGAGCCAAGGUGAUUCCUGUACCUCUCACUGUUGUGCUACUGAAGACAUUAAAGAGUCCUCUAUUGUACAAGUGCAAGAACAACAGAUCAAAUUACUAGAAAUCCCAGAGCACUCUGAUAUCACGCAAGUUUAUCUUCAUGCAAGCUGCCUGGUCAGCACUACACAGAGAAGCCUGACUUCAAGCAAAACUGAGGCUUUCCUCAGUCUGGCUCAGAGAAAGCUCCUGUGAGGAAAUGGGAACAAAAAUACUUAACUUCGUAAAGGAGCUAGAUGCCGUGAAUAAAACCAGACUUGCUUUGCA